GUCCUGUCUGGUGCCGGGGGCAGUGUCCGCAGGUGUCCCAGGAGCGGGCUGUGGGGCUGCGGCAGCCGUGGACAUGGGCUGAUGGGGGCAGUGGCCGCAGGCAUCUGAGGAGCAGAGUGGGGCGCUGUGGCCAGCUGGCAGCUAUCUGAUGAGGCCAGCGAUGACUAGUACUUGUAGGAUAGCCUCCAG